AUGACAACAGUUGAAUGUGAACCCUGGGAGAAAGAUGGCAGCUGGAAGAAACUUUUCGGUCCAACCAUAUAUGUUUGAACCAGAGUCAGACCCUGAACAGUAAGGAGCUAGCGAAGAAGUUGUUCAAUGUAGACUGCAACAAGACCUUUCUGAAUGGUGUACUUGUGAGAAUUGCACAACAAUGCCUACAGAGCCAGAGAAUGUCUGCUGCAGGGAGAUACCACAGCCGUUACAGGUACUUGGCCUAUAGGAGCUUUGUGAGCUGGUGUUGGGGCUUUCUGGGCCGAAGAGUUCGCGUGGCACUGCCCAGCUGUGUGGUGCUGCGUACACGGGCGGAGUUCCCCAACACU